UACGUAGGGUGCAAGCGUUGUCCGGAAUUAUUGGGCGUAAAGAGCUCGUAGGCGGUCUGUCGCGUCGGCUGUGAAAUCCUGGAGCUCAACUCCGGGUCUGCAGUCGAUACGGGCAGACUGGAGUUCGGCAGGGGAGACUGGAAUUCCUGGUGUAGCGGUGAAAUGCGCAGAUAUCAGGAGGAACACCGGUGGCGAAGGCGGGUCUCUGGGCCGAUACUGACGCUGAGGAGCGAAAGCGUGGGGAGCGAACAGG
rnacentral:rRNA from 1 species